GGAAAAGAAACCAACAGGGAUUACCUCAGUAACGGCGAGUGAAGCGGUAACAGCUCAAAUUUGAAAGCUAGCUCUUCGAGGGUUCGCAUUGUAAUUUGUAGAAGAUGCUUCGGGUGUGGCCCCGGUCUAAGUUCCUUGGAACAGGACGUCAUAGAGGGUGAGAAUCCCGUAUGUGACUGGGUGCUUUCGCUCAUGUGAAGCUCUUUCGACGAGUCGAGUUGUUUGGGAAUGCAGCUCUAAAUGGGUGGUACAUUUCAUCUAAAGCUAAAUAUUGGCCAGAGACCGAUAGCGCACAAGUAGAGUGAUCGAAAGAUGAAAAGCACUUUGGAAAGAGAGUUAAACAGUACGUGAAAUUGUUGAAAGGGAAGCGCUUGCAACCAGACUUGCGCGCUGAUGAUCAUCCGGGCUUCUGCCCGGUGCACUCGUCUGCGCUCAGGCCAGCAUCGGUUUCGGUGGUGGGAUAAAGGCCUUGGGAAUGUAGCUCCUCUCGGGGAGUGUUAUAGCCCUCGGUGCAAUGCCGCCUACCGGGACCGAGGACCGCGCUUCGGCUAGGAUGCUGGCGUAAUGGUUGUAAGCGACCCGUCUUGAAACACGGACCAAGGAGUCUAACAUCUAUGCGAGUGUUUGGGUGUCAAACCCAUACGCGUAAUGAAAGUGAACGGAGGUGAGAACCCUUAAGGGUGCAUCAUCGACCGGUCCUGAUGUCUUCGGAUGGAUCUGAGUAAGAGCAUAGCUGUUGGGACCCGAAAGAUGGUGAACUAUGCGUGAAUAGGGUGAAGCCAGAGGAAACUCUGGUGGAGGCUCGCAGCGGUUCUGACGUGCAAAUCGAUCGUCAAAUUUGCGUAUAGGGGCGAAGACUAAUCGAACCA
rnacentral:rRNA from 1 species